UUUAAAUUGGACUAUAAAAUGAGGGGGUGAGAAAGUUAGAUGGAUGGUGGCUAACUUAGUAUAAAGUGAGGUGAUGCCUACGCACCCAUCAACGAAAACUUUAGAAAGGAGAGGCCGUGAAUAAUCAAUGUGAUAGACGUGCGCAUGCUGAUCUUUGCUUUCGGUAAUUUUAUCGUAGCGCGCAUCUGUUUAGU
rnacentral:sRNA from 1 species